UACGAAGGGGGCUAGCGUUGCUCGGAAUCACUGGGCGUAAAGGGUGCGUAGGCGGGUCUUUAAGUCAGGGGUGAAAUCUCCAAGCCUAACUUGGAAACUGCGUUGGAUACUAUCCGGCUCGAGGAAUGGAGGGGAGACUGGAAUACUUGGUGUAGCAGUGAAAUGCGUAGAUAUCAAGUGGAACACCAGUGGCGAAGGCGAGUCUCUGGACAUUUCCUGACGCUGAGGCACGAAAGCCAGGGGAGCAAACGGG
rnacentral:rRNA from 1 species